AAAAAUAAACAAAGAGGCACUUAUCAGAUUAAAGGAUCUGAUUUAAUAUUGCUGUGAGUACUGCUUGUAUGAGAAGAGGACUUUUUGGGAUAUUCAGUCCAGUAUUUCUAUAACUAAAAAUCACUUUUAAAAGCUAAAUGAACCAAAUGAAGAGAGCCUUGCAACAUUGAUAUCACAAGAUUCGAUCAGGACCUGCCAGAGAAAAGAGGCUAUACAAGUCUAUGGGCUCUGACACGGAUGUUGACUAAUAUGAUUGAUCAAGACCUUCUCUGGAAGUCAGGCAUUUCACACUGCCUCUUCCAUAAAAGGCAAGACGUGUCCAGUGACAGAGGUGAUGGAAAAGCAUUGUAUGGUUCACUCUCAGCAGAAUGGAAACAGGGAUACACGACCAACCAUGACCCUGCUAACAGAACAUUUAUUCUUGACCAGAUGACUGUAUUGGAUUAAAUAGGAAACAGUGGUCUCAAUUCACUCAAAAAAUCCUAUUUUGCUAUAAUCCAUAACACAAAAGCAACAAUCAAAUUCUACUUGAAACAAACCAAGGACAGGGACUGAAAUAUUCAUAUAUUG